rnacentral:tRNA from 1 species
GCCUGGGUGGCUCAGUCGGUUGAGCGUCCGACUUCGGUUCAGGUCAUGAUCUCGCGCUCCGUGAGUUCAAGCCCCGCAUCAGGCU